rnacentral:lncRNA from 1 species
GUGAGACCUGAUCAACUAGCAACAUGCGGAAGUCACACCAUUAAGUCUUCCAAUUUGCUAGCAGCAAAUCAAUGAACUCUGAUAGCUGCUGCCCUAAGCUAGCAUCCAGGGAACUGUGGACAAGCUAUUUGAUACCUGAAUUUUAGUGAAGGCUUUGUCAGGCCAGGAGAUGGUUUUGCAGCAGCAGAAGACUAUGAACUGGGCUUUGGGAGAUAGGAUCUCUGGUUGUAUUCUGGCUAUCCACACUCUGAAAGACGACCGUGACAGAGAAUUUGAGUAUCCUACCAAUAUACCAACAAAAGGAUGAAAGAAGAUUUGGAGUCAAGGGAAAACAAGGGCAAUAAAAUAGAUGCUUACCACCUGCUCUAAUACAGUUGCUAGAAGAGGACUGCACAUUUGGUUCUAAGUUUCUGGAAGAUAAAGCAAAAAUAGAAACACAACUCAUUAUAAAAUUUUGGUGUAUCCAUAAAAUAAAAAC